AAAUUGAAGAGUUUGAUCAUGGCUCAGAUUGAACGCUGGCGGCAGGCCUAACACAUGCAAGUCGAGCGGAAACGACAACAUUGAAUCUUCGGAGGAUUUGUUGGGCGUCGAGCGGCGGACGGGUGAGUAAUGCCUAGGAAAUUGCCUUGAUGUGGGGGAUAACCAUUGGAAACGAUGGCUAAUACCGCAUGAUGCCUAC
rnacentral:rRNA from 1 species